UAAUUUUUUAUCCCUUUCUUUUUCAUCUCGACAUUUCAUUCUCUACCUCCCGAUCGCACACCUCAAGCCCACAUCCGAACCUCCCUUCUUCCUCCUCCAACCACAGUCCACCAAGGUCGGCGGUCGCCGCCCUCAUCACAGCCGCCCUUCACAACAUCCCAUCUCACCUUACCCUCUCUCGAUCGGGAGAAGCUCCUACCGCCGACAGCCCUUCUUCAUCUCCUCUACCUCUCCCAAUUGAAAAAGGAGGAGCCAUCUCGUCCUCUCCAAUACUCAUCCCCGGCGCCACCACCACAUCUUUCCUCACCGGCGGCCACCAUUCUAUCUUCUUCCUCACCCAAUCGGGAGAGGAGGCACCGACCAUCUCCACCUUCUUCCUCUCCCGAUUGGGAGCGGAAGCGCCACCUUGGGAACUCUCGAAUCCGAGGCUCUUCCAUUCAUCCAUCCUCAUCCACAGCUCUCUAUUCAAUUGGGAGACAUUUUGACAGCCCACCUUCAUCCGCCGACAAGUUUACAUCAGUGAGCUUCAGGAUUCCAAGCUCUUCUGCACUAUACACCCUUCCGAAUCCGUAGGUGGUAGCAUGAUUCAUUUCCGCUGCUCGUCACACACCAUCCAUUUCGCUCGAGGAGUUAUAGGUUUUACUGUGACUGAAGAAGAGACUACAUCUUCAAUGUUAAUUUUGUUACUAUGAUCAAGUUGCAGGUAAGCAGAGGAUAUAAGUAGAGGGAAAGAUAUUGGUUUCAGCAAAACAAGAUCAAGGGGGAGAGGAUACGGAGAUGAUACUCUCUUAUAAUACAAGAUAAGUAUAUAUAUUAAUGGUAUACAAAUUGAAGAAAUCAUUGAGUUACAUAAUAUUUACUUUGAUUAUGCAUGUAUGCAACAUUAUACAAAUGCAUGAAUUUGACAACAUACCAAAUGAAAUACAAGUGUGUGAAUUUAUCUCAAUAUUGUAUUAAUUAAAUGACAUCCAUUAUAUGUAUUUAUUUGUUGUAGGAUGAGGAGGGAAAAUCAAUUUCAGAAAUUAUUUAAAGCUAAAAGAAAUGGAACUCAUUAUCACAGAAAAUAGACAAAGGGAAGAAAAGUUUAUCGAGGAAGGUAGAUAAAGAGAAGAAAAUCUAAAGAAGAUGGUUCGUAAGAUGAUUCAAAAGGUGGGAUAUACAAAUCAUUUGUAUGAGGAUUGGUCCGGGGGCUCAUGAUAGACGAAAUGAAGAUUAAAGUAUUUGUGGUAGAAUUUAAAAUUUUAUCAAAUACUUGCUAAAUUUAGUUGAAUGAUGUGAAUAUUCAUUUAUCUUUAAUUGUAUGAUACUUUUAGAUUA